AUGAACGCUGGCGGCGUGCCUCAUACAUGCCAGUCGAGCGCACAGACGAGGAGCUUGCUCCUCUGACGUUAGCGGCGGACGGGUGAGUAACACGUGGAUAACCUACCUAUAAGACUGGGAUAACUUCGGGAAACCGGAGCUAAUACCGGAUAAUAUAUUGAACCGCAUGGUUCAAUAGUGAAAGACGGUUUUGCUGUCACUUAUAGAUGGAUCCGCGCCGCAUUAGCUAGUUGGUAAGGUAACGGCUUACCAAGGCAACGAUGCGUAGCCGACCUGAGAGGGUGAUCGGCCACACUGGAACUGAGACACGGUCCAGACUCCUACGGGAGGCAGCAGUAGGGAAUCUUCCGCAAUGGGCGAAAGCCUGACGGAGCAACGCCGCGUGAGUGAGGAAGGUCUUCGGAUCGUAAAACGCUGUUAUUAGGGAAGAACAAAUGUGUAAGUAACUAUGCACGUCUUGACGGUACCUAAGCAGAAAGCCACGGCUAACUACGU
rnacentral:rRNA from 1 species